rnacentral:rRNA from 1 species
UGGGGGAUAUUGCACAAUGGGCGAAAGCCUGAUGCAGCGACGCCGCGUGGGGGAUGAAGGCCUUCGGGUUGUAAACUUCUUUUGCUCUGAACAAGGCGCACCAUGGGGUGUGUUGAGUGUAGGGGUUGAUUAGCGCCGGCUAACUACGUGCCAGCAGCCGCGGUAAUACGUAGGGCGCGAGCGUUGUCCGGAAUUAUUGGGCGUAAAGUGCUUGUAGGUGGCUGGUUGCGUCUGUCGUGAAAGCUCAUGGCUUAACUGUGGGUUUGCGGUGGGUACGGGCUGGCUUGAGUGCAGUAGGGGAGGCUGGAAUUCCUGGUGUAGCGGUGGAAUGCGCAGAUAUCAGGAGGAAUACCGGUGGCGAAGGCGGGUCUCUGGGCUGUUACUGACACUGAGGAGCGAAAGCAUGGGGAGCGAACAGG